rnacentral:rRNA from 1 species
AAUGAACGUUGGCGGCAUGGAUUAGGCAUGCAAGUCGUGCGAGAAGUUCCUUUCGGGGAACGGAAAGCGGCGAAAGGGAGAGUAACGCGUGGGUAUCUGCCCUCAGGUCUGGGAUAGCGGUGGGAAACUGCCGGUAAUACCAGAUGAUGUCUUCGGACUAAAGGUGUGAUUCCGCCUGUGGAUGGGCCCGCGUCCUAUUAGCUAGUUGGUGAGGUAAUGGCUCACCAAGGCUUCGAUGGGUACCGGGCGUGAGAGCGUGGCCCGGCUCACUGGGACUGAGACACUGCCCAGACACCUACGGGUGGCUGCAGUCGAGAAUCUUCGGCAAUGGGCGAAAGCCUGACCGAGCGAUGCCGCGUGCGGGAUGAAGGCCCUCGGGUUGUAAACCGCUGUCAGAGGGGAGGAAAUAUUGGGGGGUUCUCCCCCUAGUUUGACCUAGCCUCGAAGGAAGGACGGGCUAAGUUCGUGCCAGCAGCCGCCGUAAUAC